AUUGAACGCUGGCGGCAGGCCUAACACAUGCAAGUCGAGCGGAUGAAGGGAGCUUGCUCCUGGAUUCAGCGGCGGACGGGUGAGUAAUGCCUAGGAAUCUGCCUGGUAGUGGGGGAUAACGUCCGGAAACGGGCGCUAAUACCGCAUACGUCCUGAGGUAGAAAGAGGGGGAUCUUCGGACCUCACGCCAUCAGAUGAGCCUAGGUCGGAUUAGCUAGUUGGUGGGGUAAAUGCCCACCAAGGCGACGAGCCGCAGCCGGUCUUAUAGGGGGAUCAGCCACACCGGGACAGGGAAACGGCGCCCAAUCCCACGGGGGGGAGCAGGAGGGGAAAUUUGGCAAAGGGGGAAAAACUGAACGCGCACCGCCGCGGGAGUGAAGAAGGGUUUCGGGGUUUGAAACUCCGUUGAGAUUGGAGAAAGGUGGGGAAAGUUAAAACCUCAUCAUGUGACGGUAACUAAACAGAAAGGGACGGCUAACUUCGUG
rnacentral:rRNA from 1 species